GAUGAAGUUGGAAGCGAAGAGGGGUUCUCGUGAUAUGGGCACUUUGAGAACAGGGAGCUAGUGGUGCAACCUGCCAAUAAUU
rnacentral:ncRNA from 2 species